AUGGACCAGGACCUCAAGGACCGGCUCCUCCUCCCUCCCCGCGCCGCCUCGAACGGGCCCCACCGCCGCGGCAAGCCCGCGGCGCCAGGCGGCGGCGGAGGUGGGGGUGGCGUGACGAUCGACGUCCACGGCCUGAAGAAGCGCGGCGGCGGGCGGCGCUCGUGGGUGCGGGUGGACGCGGCGACGGGCGCGGCCGAGGCGGUGGAGGUCGCCAAGCCGGCGCUCAUGCGGCGGCUCGACCUGCCCGCGCGCGACCUCCGCCUCCUCGACCCGCUCUUCGUCUACCCCUCCGCCAUCCUCGGCCGCGAGCGCGCCGUCGUCUGCAACCUCGAGCGGAUACGGUGCAUCAUCACCGCUGACGAGGCGCUCGUCCUGCGCGACCCCGACGCUGACGGCGGAGCCGCUGCGGAGGAGGCCGUGCGGAGGUACGUCGACGAGCUGCAACGCCGUCUCGUGGACUGCGCCGACGACCUGCCCUUCGAGUUCAUCGCUCUGGAGGUCGCGCUCGAAGCCGCCUGCUCCUUCCUAGACGCUCAGGCUGUUGAGCUGGAGGCUGAAGCUUAUCCACUGCUAGAUGAGUUAACGGCCAAAAUCAGUACCCUUGACUUGGAGCGUGCUCGACGCCUAAAGAGCAAGCUGGUUGCAUUGACUAGGAGGGUCCAAAAGGUCAGAGAUGAGAUAGAGCAAUUGAUGGACGACGAUGGUGAUAUGGCUGAAAUGUACCUCACGGAAAAGAAGAUGAGGAUGGAAGCAUCAUCAUUGGACGAGGAGGGCCUUCAAGGAGUUGCUGGAAAUAAUGCCUUCGGUGCAUCCGUCUCUGCUCCAGUUUCACCAGUUUCGUCGCCCCCUGCGCCCCGGCGGCUUGAGAAGCAAUUUAGUUUUGCUAGAAGCAGGCACAGCAGCUUCAAGAGCUCAGAGAGCAGUCAAUAUAACAUAGAAGAACUGGAAAUGUUGCUGGAGGCUUACUUUGUGGUUAUUGACUACACUCUCAGCAAAUUAACUUCGCUGAAGGAGUAUAUUGAUGACACAGAGGAUUUCAUCAAUAUCCAGCUGGAUAAUGUCCGGAACCAACUGAUCCAGUUCGAGCUGCUGCUGACCACCGCUACGUUUGUGGUAGCCAUCUUCGGGGUUGUCUCUGGGGUCUUCGGCAUGAACUUUGAGGGGGUCGCUGUGCUUAAAGUGCCUCACGCUUUUGAGUGGACGCUCAUCAUAACGGGUGUUUGUGGCGCGGUCAUAUUCGCCUGCCUCCUGUGGUACUUUAAGAAGAGAAGGUUCUUCCCCUUGUAA
rnacentral:rRNA from 1 species